rnacentral:rRNA from 1 species
ACUUUCAAACUAUGAUCUGAAGUCAG